rnacentral:rRNA from 1 species
GACGAACGCUGGCGGCGUGCUUAACACAUGCAAGUCGAGCGGUAAGGCCCUUUCGGGGGUACACGAGCGGCGAACGGGUGAGUAACACGUGGGUGACCUGCCCUCAGCUCUGGGAUAAGCCUGGGAAACUGGGUCUAAUACCGGAUAUGACCCCAUGACGCAUGUCGGUGGGGUGGAAAGCCUUGUGCGGCUGAGGAUGGGCCCGCGGCCUAUCAGCUUGUUGGUGGGGUGAGGCCUACCAAGGCGACGACGGGUAGCCGCCUGAGAGGCGACCGGCCACACUGGGACUGAGACACGGCCCAGACUCCUACGGGAGGGCAGCAGUGGGGAAUCUUGCGCAAUGGGCGAAAGCCUGACGCAGCGACGCCGCGUGA